AUCUGUGGAAGAGAGAGUUGCAAACAGAGUUAUAAUCCAAGAACUUGACUUUUCUUUCUUUUCAUCCUUGGCUCCUCUUCUCAACUAAUCAUGGACACCAAUAGGGAAUUUUAGAGGACAAAGAAAACUUGCUACAUAAUCCAACACCUUUAUUUCAUCAGAUAAGGAAACUGAGAUUUCCAGAGGUACAGGAUCAGAGCUAGGACUUGGAACACUCAUAGCCAAACCAGAAUCUCUGAAUUCAAUCGGCUCUGG